rnacentral:rRNA from 1 species
AUUGAACGCUAGCGGGAUGCUUUACACAUGCAAGUCGAACGAGUGGCGGACGGGUGAGUAAUAUAUCGGCACGUGCCCAGUAGCGGGGGAUAACUACUCGAAAGCGUGGCUAAUACCGCACACUAUUGGUGCGGCCGAUAUCGGAUUAGCUAGUUGGUGUGGUAAAGGCUCACCAAGGAAACGAUCCGUAGCUGGUGUGAGAGGACGACCAGCCACACUGGGACUGAGACACGGCCCAGACUCCUACGGGAGGCAGCAGUGGGGAAUUUUGGACAAUGGGGGAAACCCUGAUCCAGCCAUCCCGCGUGUAUGAGAAGGCCUUCGGGUUGUAAAGUACUUUUGGCAGAGAAGCGGUAUCUGCAGAAUAAGCACCGGCUAACUACGUGCCGGCAGCCGCGGUAAUUC